rnacentral:lncRNA from 1 species
CUUUGGGCACAGCACAACACAACCAAGUGAGCACUGGAAACCUGGCACCCAUAGGAUAUUGAAAGUUAUCAGGAUAUUCUUCCCACUCCAAGAUCCAGGAAAGUAACACAUCAAUACAGGACAAGGAGAUGCUUCAACAUCAGAAAUGCAUGGGAGAGUUCUGGAUGUUGGGAAGCAGAAGAACAAGGUGCCAGCAGAUCCAGUGUCUGUGAGAGCUGCUGUCAGCUUCCAGAUGGUGCCUUAUUGCUACAUCCUUUAAGGUGUUGAACCCUGUGUCUUCACAUGGCCAAAAGAAGAGAAGGGUAAAAAGAGCCUUGCUAGUUCCCUCUAGCCCUUUUAUAAGGUCAUAGGAAAUGAAACAGACUGCUGUUUUCAUGAGAAGCAUUUACAGAGGGAAAUAAGGACACUCACCAAAUAGGGCUAAUUUGAAGAAGGACACAGCUGACUUAGUAGGAAGAAGGCAGAAGAAUUAUCUCCUGGUAAUCAAGACUCUGAAAAUAAGACUUAAGAUAAAAGACUGGAUACAUGCAAGAACAGAGUUCUUAAAGAUCACCAGCUGAAGAUUGUGAUUUUUCAUUCUUCUAUGCCCUAAGACAGCCAUAUUUUACCAUUUGAAACAUAAAUAAAAAUGACUUCCAGGCUUAUUUGAUUACAGACUGAAUUGCUCUAUCAUAGGAUGACAAGCAAUGACAGAUAGGUUCCCCAUAAAGAAAAGUCUGUGAGACUCCAUAUUUCCUGUAAAAGAUGAUAUGAGGAAACCGGGCAGAUUUUUCUUUCAUUCAUACUCUUUUAUAUGGGGGCAAUAGUACUGUCAAUCUCUAUUAUAUCAUUAGGUUACCUGGAAGGUCUUAUGUUUGGCAGUGGAAUGUAAGUUUUAGGGUAAUUUUUCUGAGUGGCAACCCAAGGCCAAUGUAGUAAAUUUUGAAAGAUCAAUUAAAUUACAGAAAAGGCUUGCAUAACAUAAAUGUGUUCUGCCCACUUGUCAACAUGGGUAAAGAUAUUAAUAUUGUAACAAGUGCAAUGACAGAAUUUCAUUUUCAGACUCCAGACUUCUUAACAGUAGCAGUGGCAAGGCAUCAAACCAGUGAGUUUUGCUUCUU